rnacentral:rRNA from 1 species
GCUGACUAGCUCGCCGACACCCCCGGUUAAAUAACCCCUAUAGAUACCCGAACAAACCUUAAACUUAAACAACAAACCAUUUUUCCUCCUUAGUAUAGGCGAUAGAAAAGGAUCCUCUGAGCAAUAGAAAAAGUACCGCAAGGGAAAGCUGAAAAAGAAAUGAAACAACUCAUAUAAGCCCUAAAAAGCAGAGAUAAAACCUCGUACCUUUUGCAUCAUGCUUUAGCUAGCAAACCCGAGCAAAGAGCACUUUAGUUCGGGCCCCCGAAACUAGACGAGCUACUCCGGGACAGCCCAAAAGGGGGCAAACCCGUCUCUGUGGCAAAAGAGUGGGAAGAGCCCUGAGUAGAGGUGAUAAACCUAUCGAGUUUAGUUAUAGCUGGUUGCUUAAGAAAUGAAUAGAAGUUCAGCUCUUCGGUCCUCUUCCUCCCCAAAAGUAACACUAAAUUUGUUUACAAGAGACCAAAGAAGUUAGUCAAAGGAGGUACAGCUCCUUUGAAUAAGGACACAACCUUGACAGGUGCUUAAGGAUCAUAAUUAUUAAGGCUCCUGUUAUAGUGGGCCUAAAAGCAGCCACCUAUAAAGAAAGCGUUAAAGCUCAAACAGAUGCCCGCCUCUUAUCCUGAUAAACUAAUCCUAACCCCUAAAAAUAUUAAGCCCUUCCACCCUGUGGAAAAGAUUCUGCUAAAAUGAGUAAUAAGAGGAAACAAUCCUCUCCCCGCACUAGUGUAUAUCGGGCCGGAUAUACCACCGAUCCUUAACGAACCCAAAACAAGAGGGCCUUGUAAAUAAUCACAAGAAAAAUUUACAUAAAAUAAUCGUUAACUCCACACUGAAGUGCCUCCGGGAAAGACCUAAAGAAAAAGAAGGAACUCGGCAAACACAAGCCUCGCCUGUUUACCAAAAACAUCGCCUCUUGCCAACUAAACAUAAGAGGUCCCGCCUGCCCUGUGACUAUGGGUUUAACGGCCGCGGUAUUUUAACCGUGCGAAGGUAGCGCAAUCACUUGUCUUUUAAAUGAAGACCUGUAUGAAUGGCAUCACGAGGGCUUAGCUGUCUCCUUUUUCAAGUCAAUGAAAUUGAUCUGCCCGUGCAGAAGCGGACAUAAAUACAUAAGACGAGAAGACCCUAUGGAGCUUUAGACACUAGGCAGACCCUGUUAAGUAACCCUAUAUUAACGGGUAAAACAAAGCGGCCCCUGGCCCACAUGUCUUCGGUUGGGGCGACCAUGGGGGAAAAUAAAGCCCCCACGAGGACUGAGGGUAAUACCCUUAUAAGCAUGAGCUACAGCUCUAAGCAUCAGAACUUCUGACCAAAAUGAUCCGACAUAGUCGAUCAACGAACCAAGUUACCCUAGGGAUAACAGCGCAAUCCUCUCCCAGAGUCCCUAUCGACGAGGGGGUUUACGACCUCGAUGUUGGAUCAGGACAUCCUAAUGGUGCAGCCGCUAUUAAGGGUUCGUUUGUUCAACGAUUAAAGUCCUACGUGAUCUGAGUUCAGACCGGAGUAAUCCAGGUCAGUUUCUAUCUAUGCUAUGAUCUUCUUUAGUACGAAAGGACCAAGAAGAAGAGGCCCCUGCUAAAGGCACGCCUCACCCCUACCUGUUGAAAACAACUAAAACAGGUAAGGGGGCACAUCCCUGUGCCGAAAAUUACUGCGC